rnacentral:tRNA from 2 species
GGCGAUGUGGUGCACCACGAACACCAGCAGGUGCUCGGUGGGGCUCACCUCGAACAACCGGGUACGGAACGGGAGGUCCUUCGACAGGUCGAAUCCUGUCGUCGCCA